GUAACAGAGAGAAGCUUGCUUUUCUGCUGACGACCGGCGCACGGGUGCGUAACGCGUAUACAAUCUGCCUUAUACAGAGGGAUAGCCUUUAGAAAUGAAGAUUAAUACCUUAUAGUCUAUUUUUAUAGCAUUAUAUAAAUAGUAAAGCUUCGGUGGUAUAAGAUGAGUAUGCGUCCUAUUAGUUAGUUGGUAAGGUAACGGCUUACCAAGACAACGAUAGGUAGGGGCCCUGAGAGGGGGAUCCCCCACACUGGUACUGAGACACGGACCAGACUCCUACGGGAGGCAGCAGUGAGGAAUAUUGGACAAUGGAGGCAACUCUGAUCCAGCCAUGCCGCGUGCAGGAUGACGGCCCUAUGGGUUGUAAACUGCUUUUAUAUAGGAAGAAACCUUUUCACGUGUGAGAAGCUGACGGUACUAUAAGAAUAAGG
rnacentral:rRNA from 1 species